CUACGACUAUGAGAGAGAGAAUAGAAGAAGAAGAGGAAGAGAAAGAGGAGGAGGGGGACACCACAGCUACCCCAAACCACCGCCGACCACCACCGCUGAAGAAACCAAUGAAGAAGACGCCUCCACGAUCGCCGACCACCACCACCAACGUACGCCUACGAGCUUCGAACCACAAUCACUGAUAUCGAUUUCGAACGCUCAAGAAGGUCUCAACCACUACCGCCGCUGCCAUACGCCAACGAAGAGGAACUAAAUGGUGGGCAGUAUCUGUUUGCACUCCGUAUGCUGAUCAUACUUUUUCGGAGAGAGUUGUCAAUUGUAGAUGCGCUGUACCUUUGGUAGGUGAUGUGGGCAAUGGAAUAUAAUCCAAACAUCUCUUCAUUAUAUGAGGUUUCAAGGUCUAGAUCAGAUGUGGCACCAAAUGAAAAUGCUGUAUCCAGAAUGGAUAUUAAGCAGCUGAAGCAAUAUGGGAAAUAUGAGAGAAAACUUAUAAAGACUGGACACGGGGACUAAAAGAGCGCCCUCAUAGUUUUCCUCGUUGCAAGUGUCAUUGAGGCCAAGAAAAAACGACUUCUGAAAAAAGCUAAAGGUCCAGACGAUGUUGUCAAGGUUUACAUUCCGCUUCCCUCUUGUUUCUCGUCUUCACCUUUGCGAUUAGAUGUGUCUGAAAUAUAACUUAUUUGAACCUACUUUUACAAAUUGUGGGGGAAAUAAUAACGGCUAGUCUGGAUGUGAAAAGGGCAUUGAGAGACGCAUUGAAGAUCCAGGAAAAGUACCUACAGAAGGCAAGCUCAUCUUUUUGUUUCUCUUUCGUUAAAUCCUCAUUCCAUCCUCACAUGCAUGCAUAUGACUUGGGUUUCCACACAUGGCUUGCUGCUUAUAGUGCUUACCUAUGCAUGCAAGCCAAGCAAUUGUAGCUAUGCAAGAGGGAGGGAGAGCACAAAGCAGUUCCACAACUCCAAAAUCCAGUUCCGCUUGGUGUUUGGAGCGUCCAGCCAAGAAGAGAUGCUAGCUACACUUAGGAUUUAUCUUUUUCAUUUUACUUGUAAUAUAGCUUAGGGUAGACGACGACGAUGAUGUUCAGCUCAUGGCCUUUGCUCUAAUUUGACAAUGUUUCAUGGCUUGUUUAAAAAGAUACAAGUUUGUACUCCAUUUUUGUUGCUGUAUUGGUUUUAGAGUGGUACAUUUUGAGAUAAUGAGUGGUACAUUAUGAAAUUCAAAUAUCACUAUGGUGUCA